rnacentral:rRNA from 1 species
UACAGAGGGUGCAAGCGUUGUCCGGAAUCACUGGGCGUAAAGGGCGCGUAGGCGGCCUGAUAAGUCGGGGGGUGAAAUUCUGCGGCUUAACCGCAGGACGGCCUUCGAGACUGUCGGGCUUGAGCACGGUAGAGGCUGGUGGAAUUCCCGGUGUAGCGGUGGAAUGCGUAGAGAUCGGGAAGAACACCGGUGGCGAAGGCGGCAUCCUGGACCGGCAUUGACGCUGAGGAGCGAAAGCCAGGGGAGCAAACGGG